rnacentral:rRNA from 1 species
GACGAACGCUGGCGGCGUGCUUAACACAUGCAAGUCGAGCGGUAAGGCCCUUUCGGGGGUACGACGAGCGGCGAACGGGUGAGUAACACGUGGGUGACCUGCCUCUAGCUCUGGGAUAAGCCUGGGAAGCUGGGUCUAAUACCGGAUAUGACCUCGCGGUGCAUGUUGCGGGGUGGAAAGCCUUGUGCGGCUAGGGAUGGGCCCGCGGCCUAUCAGCUUGUUGGUGGGGGUGANGG